rnacentral:rRNA from 1 species
UACGAAGGGGACUAGCGUUGUUCGGAAUUACUGGGCGUAAAGCGCACGUAGGCGGAUUAUUAAGUCAGGGGUGAAAUCCCGGGGCUCAACCUCGGAACUGCCUUUGAUACUGGUAAUCUAGAGUCCGAUAGAGGUGGGUGGAAUUCCUAGUGUAGAGGUGAAAUUCGUAGAUAUUAGGAAGAACACCAGUGGCGAAGGCGGCCCACUGGAUCGGUACUGACGCUGAGGUGCGAAAGCGUGGGGAGCAAACAGG